rnacentral:rRNA from 1 species
CCUACGGGGGGCUGCAGUGGGGAAUAUUGGACAAUGGGGGGAACCCUGAUCUAGCCAUGCCGCGUGUGUGAAGAAGGCCCUCGGGUUGUAAAGCACUUUCAGUGAGGAAGAACGCCUGGUGGUUAAUACCCAUCAGGAAAGACAUCACUCACAGAAGAAGCACCGGCUAACUCCGUGCCAGCAGCCGCGGUAAUACGGAGGGUGCGAGCGUUAAUCGGAAUUACUGGGCGUAAAGCGCGCGUAGGUGGCUUGAUAAGCCGGUUGUGAAAGCCCCGGGCUCAACCUGGGAACGGCAUCCGGAACUGUCAAGCUAGAGUGCAGGAGAGGAAGGUAGAAUUCCCGGUGUAGCGGUGAAAUGCGUAGAGAUCGGGAGGAAUACCAGUGGCGAAGGCGGCCUUCUGGACUGACACUGACACUGAGGUGCGAAAGCGUGGGUAGCAAACAGGAUUAGAUACCCGUGUAGUC